UGACCAAAAGUUGAUAUGUUAAAGCUAAUGAACUAAUCAACCAAAAACUGACGCAUAAAAGAGUGCUCAGGGACCAAUGUUGCUUUUCAUAUUUGAUUUUCAAGUCUAUUGGUGCUCUGGGACCAAUCCUGCUUCUGAUAUUUUAUUUUCAACUGAUUUGCUUAGAAAAAAUAGAAAACAAGUUUGAUUUUUUGCAAUCUCUGUUCAUAAAUGAGUAAUUGUUGAUGACGUUUCUUUUCUUUUUUCUUUCUUUUGGCCUUUUUGGGUUGUUUCUGUGUUUUGUCUGUUUGGUUGCGGAUGCCUUAUCCACCUUUUCAAUAUAUCGUUUCUCUUUAGAAAAGAAAAUCAAUAUUCAAGACAUCUUUGCUCCAAAAUAAUGUAUGCAUGCAUUAAUUUUGGUAAACUAAAUUGAGUUUAUGCUUAUGGGAUUAAAUAUUUUUCCAUAUUUUUGUUGCACUGUUUCUUUUCUUAUUCUUAUAUGCAGGGAUGAUAAUUUGUUUUCUUUUCUUUUCAGUUUCAAACAGAUUUACAGUUCUUUUCUCUUGCUUAAAUUUGUGAAAUAUAUGUAUAUGGAGAGCCCAUAUUAAGAAAUAGCGGUUACGCAUUAUGUGGCCUUUUUAUUGGGUUUAACGAUGGAGUACAAUGUGUUCAUUUGAUGUUUUUAGCUGAGAUUGUGAUCAAUUUCAUUUUGUGGAUUUUCAGGUUUUGCAAGAUGAUAGUAGUGUAUGAGAGCGUCAAGAGGAGGCUGUGAGUAGAAGGCGGUUCUUUGCAGGCUAGACAAGCAAAAGUUCCCUCUUUGGACUUGCUCCACUUGAAGCAGUGCUAUUUAAUAUUGAUAGAACUCCAUGUGAUUUAGAUCCCAUUCAUUUCAAUGCCUUCCACAAAAUGCUUCCAUAGUUUGUGCAAGAUGUUAACAAUGUACAAGAGAAUCCAGAAGAGGCUAUGAGUAGAAGGAGGUUCUUUGCAGGUAUUGUGCUACAAAUUUCAAGUGGAACCAAGUGUUAUUCUAUUGAGUUGUAGGUAUUCUGCUACAAAUUUCAAGUGGAACCAAGUGUUAUUCUACUAAGAUUUGUAGGUGUUGUGACAUAAAUGGCAAUACAGUUUAUUUUUGUACUA